rnacentral:rRNA from 1 species
GCUUACGGCCAUACCAGCCUGUGUACGCCCGAUCUCGUCUGAUCUCGGAAGCUAAGCAGGGUGGGGCCUGGUUAGUACUUGGAUGGGAGACCGCCUGGGAAUACCAGGUGCUGUAAGCA